CCUACGGGAGGCAGCAGUGGGGAAUAUUGGUCAAUGGAGGAAACUCUGACCCAGCAACGUCGCGUGAAUGAUGAAGGCCCUCGGAUUUGUAAGCUCCUUUCUAAGGGAGGUAGAAAGUGACGGUUCCUUUGGAUUAAGCCUCGGCUAUCUACGUGCCAGCAGCCGCGGGAAUACGUAGGGGGCGGGCGUUAUCCGGAAGGACUGGGCGUAAAGGGUGCGUAGGUGGUUUGGCAAGUUAGUAGCGUAACUCCAAGGCUCAACCUUGGAACUACUACUAAAACUGUUGGACGUGAGUGCAGGAGGGGCAACCGGAAUUCCUGGUGUAGCGGUGGAAUGCGUAGAUAUUAGGAAGAACACCAGUGGCGAAGGCGGGUUGCUAGACUGUAACUGACACUGAGGCACGAAAGCGUGGGGAGCAAACAGGAUUAGAUACCCGAGUAGUC
rnacentral:rRNA from 1 species